GCCAAAGUAAUCAUUACAUUCUGGAACUUAGGAGUCGUACUUGGUCUCCGAUGAGGAAGGCAUUAACUGUGAUUUCUGUCACAUGCUGAUUCAAAACUGUGGACUAUCUUGCAAAAAAUACAAGAAGACAUUGAAAGUUUUCAUGAGUGCCUACCACCUAAUCUCAAACACUAUCAUUCAUAUGUGCCUCAUUGAGCAAAUCUUUAUUGAGGAUCUAUAUGCCAGGUAUGUGCUAAGCUCUGGGCUUAGUGUGGCAAAGAGAACAGAUAUGGCCUUGAGGUUUCUGCUCUCACAAAGCUUACAGUCUCCUAUUUGUGUAUGUGUAAUUCUCAUAGGUAUUACAGGAAAACAGGAAAGCUGUUUUCCUCAUUUUUCUUUGGCUCAUAU
rnacentral:lncRNA from 1 species